rnacentral:rRNA from 1 species
CUACGGGAUGCAGCAGUGAGGAAUAUUGCACAAUGGGGGGAACCCUGAUGCAGCAACGCCGCGUGGAGGAUGACGCAUUUCGGUGUGUAAACUCCUUUUAUAUGUCAAGAAAAUGACGGUAGCAUAUGAAUAAGCACCGGCUAACUCCGUGCCAGCAGCCGCGGUAAUACGGAGGGUGCAAGCGUUACUCGGAAUCACUGGGCGUAAAGGACGCGUAGGCGGGUUGGAAAGUCAGGUGUGAAAUCCUACAGCUUAACUGUAGAACUGCACUUGAAACUUCUAAUCUAGAGUAUGGGAGGGGGAGAUGGAAUUAGCGGUGUAGGGGUAAAAUCCGUAGAUAUCACUAGGAAUACCUAAAGCGAAGGCGAUCUCCUGGAACAUUACUGACGCUAAGGCGUGAAAGCGUGGGGAGCAAACAGGAUUGAUACCCCUGUAGUC